GACGAACCGUGCGAACGUUAUUCGGAAUCACUGGGCUUAAAGCGCGUGUAGGCGGGCCGGCACGUCGGUGCCUGAAAGCCCCCGGCUCAACCGGGGAAGCGGGGCCGAUACGACCGGCCUGGAGGGACGUAGGGGGACCUGGAACUUCCGGUGGAGCGGUGAAAUGCGUUGAGAUCGGAAGGAACGCCCGUGGCGAAAGCGAGGUCCUGGACGUCUGCUGACGCUGAGACGCGAAAGCUAGGGGAGCGAACGGG
rnacentral:rRNA from 1 species